UCUCGUUCCACUCGCUCCACUCCACUCGUCUGCCUCCUCACGCCCGCCACUCCCAGAUCCCCUCCUCUCGCCCGCCUCUCCUCUGCUCCCGUCGCCGGUCUCUCCUUUCCUCCCAAGAACGCCGAACUCUCCUUUCCCCCCUGUCGUCGCUAGCUUCCUCCCACGGCGUGACCCCGUUUUCUCCCACGGCGGGCGCCAGAAAUCCAACACGCCGAGGUCAAAAGACUACCUUUUUAGCACCGGCGACGAGCUUCUGGGCGGCGGAGGCGCUGGGUUCGUGUGCGCUAGCGCUGGAUCCGCACGCGUCGAUGAUGGAUCCGCGUGCCCCGAUGCCGGUGACGAAGUCGCGCUGGAUGUGGAGCAGCGUCGCGGCGGCGGAGCAACGGAGCUGCAGCGGCGGGGCGACAGUGGAGCGCCUACUCACGAGCUGAACCUCAAGACAAUUGGAUUUAUCGCCGGGCUAGUGCUAUGCUUGAAGUCACUGGUCAUCGCCUCAUGGAGUCAUGGGCGACGGGGCCCUCUAGAGUUCACGCAGAGUUAUCUCGAAUUGAUGGGGGAUAUUCAGUGUUUAUUCAGCCACACUUGGUGUCUUGUGUUUGAUCUCUUUGCAAUGCAGUAACGGCACGACACCCUGAAUCACCCACAUCGUGGGAGGACACCUGACACAAGGUGGAGUGCAGUUGAGGUCUGGGACAACCAUCUUCUGUUGCUUUCAGGUGAAUACAAGUGGACAGUUUGUUGGUGUUGCUGAAAUGACUGGUCCUGUUGAUUUUGAAAAAACUCUAGAGUACUGGCAACAAGACAAGUGGAAUGGUUAAUUCUCUGUCAAGUGGCACAUUGUCAAGGAUGUUCCCAACAACAUUCUCAAGCACAUCAUCCUAGAGAACAACGAGGGCAAACCGGUCACAAACAGCCGUGACACACAGGAUAUCAACCUUGAGCAAGGUGGUGUCGACGGAGGCGCGGGCGAUGCACAAUGUGGGGUUGGCAGGGUUGACCUUCUGGAGCCCCAACAUCAACAUCUUCCGGGACCCGCGGUGGGGCCGGGGCCAGGAGACGCCCGGCGAGGACCCGCUGCUGGCCAGCAAGUACGCCGUCGGAUACAUCACGGGCUCCAGGACGCCGGCGCCGGCGGCGUCACCGACGGCGCGCUCAAGGUCGCCGCAUGCUGCAAGCACUACACUGCCUACGACGUCGACAACUGGAAGGGCAUCGAGCGAUACACCUUCAACGCAAAGUUUGUUUCCAGCGACAGCAGAGAGAUGUACUCCAGCAGAGGAUCAAAUGAUCAGAGAGAGGAGAUGAACCUGCCCAGCAGCAGCCGAGCCUAGCAGCAGCCCCUGGACGUGGGAGAGGAGGAGCGCCUGCGCCUGGAUGUAGUGGCCGGAGGUGGGUACGGAGGUGGAGGUGGAGGAACAACCUGUGCUCGCCUCCACCUGGGCGCGGGCCAGGAGGAGCCCCUGUGCGUGGGCGGCAGCAGAGUACCAGCUCUACUCCAGCGGCGGUAGCGCCUGGGCAGGGGGCAGGGGGCAGAGGAGGUGGAGGGCGGAGGUGGAGGUGGAGGUGGAGAUGGAGGUGGAGGUGGAGCUGGAGGUGGAGGUGGAGGUGUCGGGCAGAGGUGAGGGUGGAGGUGGAGGGCGGAGGCGGAGGCGGAGGUGGAGGUGGAGGGCGGAAGCGAAGGUGGAAGACGAUCGAUCGGGGAUUCAAAUUUUGAACGAGGGGUAUUCAGGUCAAUUGUCACGUUUUCACCUGGUCGGGACAGAAGCCCCAGCGACCUAUAUUUCGGAACGGAGGGAGUACAUGCCAUACCAUGAGACCCGGUAUCCUCUCGGGCUACCUCACCCAAUAUAUAAUAAGCAACUAUUGAUGCUAUAUCAUAAACACACAUUGAUGCUGCCUACCCAAGUAGGCAAAAUUUAAUUUUGUACUUCAUGGUAUUUCAAGUAGUUUUCGAAAUAUUGUUAGACUACUGAAAUAAAGAUCGAAGAGCUCGGCGGCCA